GGUCUGAUGGUCUAGAGGUAUGAUUCCUUCUUAGGGUUGUUAUCCAAAUGGAGGAGGUCCCGGGUUCAAUUCCCGGUUAGACCC